GUACUGAUGAGGAGUCCUACACUAGGACGAAACAGCUGUCCAGUAC
rfam:Trichobilharzia regenti genome assembly, scaffold: TRE_scaffold0007345